AAUCUGGUUGAUCCUGCCAGAGGCGACCGCUAUUGGAGUUCGAUUAAGCCAUGCGAGUAGAAAGAAAUUAGAUUCUUUGCAUACUGCUCAGUAACACGUGGAUAACCUGCCCUACACUGGGGGAUAACCUCGGGAAACUGAGAAUAAUACCCCAUAGACCACAACGCCUGGAACGGUGUGUGGUUGAAAGCUCAGGCGGUGUAGGAUGGGUCUGCGGCGUAUCAGGUCGUAGGGGGUGUAAUGGACCUCCUAGCCAUCGACGCGUACGGGUUGUGGGAGCAAUAGCCCGGAGACGGAUUCUGAGACACGAAUCCGGACCCUACGGGGUGCAGCAGGCGCGAA
rnacentral:rRNA from 1 species